AACUUUCAACAACGGAUCUCUUGGUUCCAGCAUCGAUGAAGAACGCAGCGAAAUGCGAUAAAUAAUGUGAAUUGCAGAAUUUAGUGAAUCAUCGAGUCUUUGAACGCACAUUGCGCCCCUCGGUAUUCCGGGGGGCAUGCCUGUCCGAGCGUCAUU
rnacentral:rRNA from 2 species